rnacentral:rRNA from 1 species
GUAUGGUGCAAGCGUUAUCCGGAUUUACUGGGUGUAAAGGGAGCGUAGACGGAUGGGCAAGUCUGAUGUGAAAACCCGGGGCUCAACCCCGGGACUGCAUUGGAAACUGUUCAUCUAGAGUGCUGGAGAGGUAAGUGGAAUUCCUAGUGUAGCGGUGAAAUGCGUAGAUAUUAGGAGGAACACCAGUGGCGAAGGCGGCUUACUGGACAGUAACUGACGUUGAGGCUCGAAAGCGUGGGGAGCAAACAGGAUUAGAUACCCUGGUAGUCCACGCCGUGAACGAUGACUACUAGGUGUUGGGCAGCAAAGCUGUUCGGUGCCGCANCAAACGCANUAAGUAGUCCACCUGGGGAGU